UCUGUCCCCUUGCACUGUGGAGGGUAGGGCAACGCAUUUACCAACGCCUUCGCUCAUGGUUUCUCUCUGGGACAGAGCAGCUUUAGUUCCAGCUUCAGGGAAGUGGGAAGCCACCCGGAUGUCUGGAAGCUGAAGGUAGAGAUCUACUACUUGAAAAGUGAGCCAUUUGCUGUGAGUCCGAUUGCCAGGUUGGCAGGCCAGGAAUUGUCUGAAGCUUGCAUUCAAAGAGAGUCUAGAAAAGAAGGAGAAGAUGGAGAGAAAAGACGGGGGAAAAUCCUCAACUAGCCAACCAACCAAAAACAAAAUAAACAAAAAUCCCCUCAUUUGUUGCUGUUCCCAUACCGUCUGUUUGGUUCCAUGGAAGUCUUCUUUGAACAUGAUAUACUGUACUCUUGAUGAGAAACAAAAGGAGGGUCCCAAGGCGCGCUGAUUGUGACACCGUGUCAGUGAACAGGGUAGAACAUCUGGCAGCAAGGAGAUAAAAAGAAAACAUGAUUUUCUUGGGAUAUGAUAUAACAAAGCAGGAGAGCCAGAGCCAACUGUAUUGUUUUGGUAAGUUGGGACAGUGACAGGGAUGGAAGGAUUACAUCUUAUAUCUCCUAAUCUUACAUGUAAAGUCACUGUUCCUAACAGAAGGGUUCUUCGGUUUUCAGCAACCAUUUAACAAAACUCUCUCUUGCUUUUGGAAACAUUUCAGUAUAAAUUUUUUUUAACGGGUUCAGUGGUACUCACUCUAAUACAUGACACUGGUCACUAAUUUGAUAAUCAUUUGUAGUAAAUGUUUUGCAUGCUUUCCUUCGUUCCUCAGUAAUUCACCUACAAAAAUACAUAUUUUUUCUUUAAUAUUUUUCUGAGCCAAUUGACAAGCUGUUGAAAAUACAUGGGGUCAGAAGAAAUAAAACCUUUAAAUUCAGCACUUAUUGAUUUGCCAUCUUUUAUAACUCAGCUAGGAUGUCAAAAUUAUUUUAAAAACAUGAUGCCAUAAUUGUUUGUAAUUAAAAAAUGUCUAAUUAAAACUUCAAAGGAAACAUAUUUUCUUCAUCUAAAUUGUGAUUUAUUUUUGUUACUAAACUAUGUUUAAUUUGCUACAGAAUAGUGUUAUGCUUUUGAGAAUGCUACCUAUUACAUAUAUCCUGUCAGCACAAUAUUUAAUUCAUUUUCUGUGGUGUUAAAUAUUAAUAUCCACACUUAAAAAUACAAAUAGCUGUUUUAUAGAUUAUUGUAUCUGUGUUCUUUAUAUUGUAAAACACAGUAUUUCCCAAUCAGGAUGGAAACUGUCAUGUAGCAGGUGUGUUAAUAGAGAUAUCUAUAUGUCUCAUGAUAUUAUCAAGCAGUCUUUUCUGUGUCAGUCUAUUUUUGAUAAAUAUUUGGAGCUAAAUUCAUCCUUUUGUGCAAUCCUACUGACUUCAGUGGAGUUACACCUGGGAUUAACUUGUCCUUGUUUAUUUCUAAAGUUGAAUAUUUCAGAGUAGAAAAACUUAUCUAACUUGAAAAAUCUUUAAAUGAGUCUUUUGGAGUUGUAAAUUUCAAAGUCUGUUUUAAUAUAUUUUUAAUGCUACUGUUCUGUAUUACUAACUUUAUUUUUAAACCAGAUUAUAUUACUGCAUGUUCUAGAGUGCAGAUUAUUUGCAAAUAUCCAAGGGCCAAAUUCUCUGUUGAGCAAGCAAUACUGUUUAAUAAAAG